rnacentral:rRNA from 1 species
GAUGAACGCUGGCGGCGUGCCUAAUACAUGCAAGUCGAGCGAACAGACGAGGAGCUUGCUCCUCUGACGUUAGCGGCGGACGGGUGAGUAACACGUGGAUAACCUACCUAUAAGACUGGGAUAACUUCGGGAAACCGGAGCUAAUACCGGAUAACAUGUUGAACCGCAUGGUUCAACAGUGAAAGACGGUUUUGCUGUCACUUAUAGAUGGAUCCGCGUCGCAUUAGCUAGUUGGUAAGGUAACGGCUUACCAAGGCAACGAUGCGUAGCCGACCUGAGAGGGUGAUCGGCCACACUGGAACUGAGACACGGUCCAGACUCCUACGGGAGGCAGCAGUAGGGAAUCUUCCGCAAUGGGCGAAAGCCUGACGGAGCAACGCCGCGUGAGUGAAGAAGGUCUUCGGAUCGUAAAACGCUGUUAUUAGGGAAGAACAAAUGUGUAAGUAACUAUGCACGUCUUGACGGUACCUAAUCAGAAAGCCACGGCUAACUACGU